rnacentral:rRNA from 1 species
UACGUAGGGGGCAAGCGUUGUCCGGAUUUAUUGGGCGUAAAGAGCGUGUAGGCGGCUUGACAAGUCUGCUGUGAAAACUCGAGGCUCAACCUCGAGAUGUCGGCGGAAACUGUCUGGCUAGAGUCCGGAAGAGGAGAAUGGAAUUCCCGGUGUAGCGGUGAAAUGCGCAGAUAUCGGGAAGAACACCCGUGGCGAAGGCGGUUCUCUGGGACGGUACUGACGCUGAGACGCGAAAGCGUGGGGAGCGAACAGG